rnacentral:tRNA from 1 species
GUGGGAGCGCCGACGCUGGAGAGUCGGGCCCGCCUGUAAAGCGGGUGCAUUGCUGAGCGGGUUCGAAUCCCGCCUCCCGCA